GUCAUCAAAAAAAAAAAUACGUAAAUUGUUGCCAGCAAUACAGUUCGUCACCAACGCUCUGGAUAACAUAAACAGCCUAACUAGCAGUUAGGAGUUAGGACGGGUAAAAUGGUCAGAGUGCGGUGUUCUCUCAUUUGUGUCUGGAAGAAGCUGGCCUACGUUAACCAAUUAUAUUGGGUACUUGACUGCGGUUGUGAGGUCAGAAAGCUCGGAUUAACCCUACUAUGGAAGGCCAAGAGUUUCAAAUCGUCUUGAUUUGGACGCUUGUUACGGGCAUUUUUACACCCGUUCAGUGUGCAUUUACAGGUGAUUAUAACGCCCGUGUAGUGCCCGAAAGUACCACAUUGUAGCCCCUCUCACCUCCAUUUUUGUGAGUUUGACUUCCGGCCUGUUGCGAUAAAUCGCUUACUCAGGGAGGAGAUUAUUCUAAAUAUGGCUCAAAUUGUUAUUACAUUUACAGAAUGUAAACGCUACAGCAAGGCGUUGGUGAGAAAAAUGGAGGAAGAAAUUAAAACGACUUUUUCCACAUAACAACUACAAAGCUGACGCUGGCUAGRUAGCUUAUUUUCAUUGAAAUAGCAUGGCGAGUUAGCUAGCUAGCAAUAGUAUUAUGUCAAGCCUGUAACUAAUGGUUGUUACGUUGUGGAACAGAGCAAUAGUUCUUUGUACUUGUCAUUUGGUUGAGACAAACAUUAGUUUAGAACAUAAUUGWUUACUUUGUGUAUAUUUGUUGUUGGCUUUGCUAGUUAGCAAGRUGAGAUGUAUUUGCUCAAAUUGGCUAAUUUAGCUAUUAGCUAAUGUUUUAGGAGAACAGGUUAGCUCCCUGCAUAAUCUAGACAAGAGAAUGGGGAAUAAGAUCUGMCUGUUGCAGUGCCCAGACUAGGUGAGAGCCAACUGCCACAGAGAUAAAGGAAUCUACAAAUUCUAUGUUGAACGAGCAACACAGAUGGAGGGGGAGGAAAACAGACCGCUCCUUUCUACAACACCUUCAAGUCAUACAAUGUUUGUUACAUCUGAAAUAAAUACAGAAUUAUUUUAGUUUAUUCUGUUUGUUUUUUUAUGCUGGAUGUAAUUUAGGUUAAAGUAUAAUGUAUUGUUUUCAAACAUUUUAUUAAAUAUAUAUUCAGUCAA